rnacentral:rRNA from 1 species
CCUACGGGAGGCAGCAGUGGGGGAUAUUGCACAAUGGGGGGAACCCUGAUGCAGCGACGCCGCGUGGGUGAAGGAGUGCUUCGGCAUGUAAAGCCCUAUCGGCAGGGAAGAAGCAAGACGGUACCUGACUAAGAAGCCCCGGCUAACUACGUGCCAGCAGCCGCGGUAAUACGUAGGGGGCGAGCGUUAUCCGGAUUCACUGGGUGUAAAGGGAGCGUAGACGGCCAUGCAAGCCAGGGGUGAAAGCCCGGGGCCCAACCCCGGGACUGCCCUUGGAACUGUGCGGCUAGAGUGCGGGAGGGGCAGGCGGAAUUCCUGGGGUAGCGGUGAAAUGCGUAGAUAUCAGGAGGAACACCGGCGGCGAAGGCGGCCUGCUGGACUGCGACUGACGUUGAGGCUCGAAAGCGUGGGGAGCGAACAGGAUUAGAUACCCGGGUAGUC